rnacentral:rRNA from 1 species
UACAGAGGUCCCAAGCGUUGUUCGGAUUUACUGGGCGUAAAGGGUGCGUAGGUGGCCGGGUAAGUCUGAUGUGAAAUCUCUGGGCUCAACCCAGAAAUGGCAUUGGAUACUAUCCGGCUUGAGGAGUGGAGGGGGGACUGGAAUACUUGGUGUAGCAGUGAAAUGCGUAGAUAUCAAGUGGAACACCAGUGGCGAAGGCGAGUCCCUGGACACUUCCUGACACUGAGGCACGAAAGCUAGGGGAGCAAACAGG